ACAGCCAUAUUACGUUGAAACACCAGUUCUCAUACAAUCACCGAAGUUAAGCAAGAUCGAGCCUGGUCAGUACCUAGAUAGAGGAUCGUUUGGGAAUACUAU